rnacentral:rRNA from 1 species
UAUUGCACAAUGGGCGCAAGCCUGAUGCAGCCAUGCCGCGUGUAUGAAGAAGGCCUUCGGGUUGUAAAGUACUUUCAGCGAGGAGGAAGGCGUUAAGGUUAAUAACCUUGGCGAUUGACGUUACUCGCAGAAGAAGCACCGGCUAACUCCGUGCCAGCAGCCGCGGUAAUACGGAGGGUGCAAGCGUUAAUCGGAAUUACUGGGCGUAAAGCGCACGCAGG